AGUAAGUAUGAAGCGAUAAAUUGCAAUUAGUUUCGACCUAAUCUUAGGUUAAAUAAACCCUUACUUU
rnacentral:tRNA from 1 species